UACGUAGGUGGCAAGCGUUGUCCGGAUUUAUUGGGUUUAAAGGGUGCGUAGGUGGUCAAUUAAGUCAGUGCUGAAAUAUCCCGGCUUAACCGGGAGGGUGGCAUUGAUACUGAUUGACUUGAGUAGAGUUGAGGUAGGCGGAAUUGACGGUGUAGCGGUGAAAUGCUUAGAUAUCGGGAGGAACACCUGUGGCGAAGGCGGCCCCCUGGUUGGAUACUGACGCUGAUACGCGAAAGCGUGGGGAGCAAACAGG
rnacentral:rRNA from 1 species